UACAGAGGUCUCAAGCGUUGUUCGGAUUCAUUGGGCGUAAAGGGUGCGUAGGUGGCGCCGUAAGUCGGGUGUGAAAUUUCGGAGCUUAACUCCGAAACUGCAUUCGAUACUGCGGUGCUUGAGGACUGGAGAGGAGACUGGAAUUCAUGGUGUAGCAGUGAAAUGCGUAGAGAUCAUGAGGAAGACCAGUGGCGAAGGCGGGUCCCUGGACGAUACCUGACACUGAGGCACGAAAGCCGGGGGAGCAAACAGG
rnacentral:rRNA from 1 species